GUGUCAGCCGCCGCGGUAAUACAGAGGUCCCGAGCGUUGUUCGGAUUCACUGGGCGUAAAGGGUGCGUAGGUGGUCGGGUAAGUCUGAUGUGAAAUCUCCGAGCUCAACUCGGAAACGGCAUUGGAUACUAUUCGGCUGGAGGGUUGGAGGGGGGACUGGAAUUCUCGGUGUAGCAGUGAAAUGCGUAGAUAUCGAGAGGAACACCAGUGGCGAAGGCGAGUCCCUGGACAACUCCUGACACUGAGGCACGAAAGCUAGGGGAGCAAACAGGAUUAGAAACCCCAGUAGUCC
rnacentral:rRNA from 1 species